UACGAAGGGGGGCGAGCGUUUGUUCGGAAUUACUGGGCGUAAAGGGCGCGCAGGCGGCCUUAGAAGUCAGAUGUGAAAGCCCCGGGCUCAACCUGGGAAUGGCAUUUGAUACUCUGAGGCUGGAGUACGGGAGAGGAGAGUGGAAUUCCCAGUGUAGAGGUGAAAUUCGUAGAUAUUCGCAGGAACACCAGUGGCGAAGGCGGCUCACUGGCUCGAUACUGACGCUGAGGUGCGAAAGCGUGGGGAGCAAACAGG
rnacentral:rRNA from 1 species